UCUGACCGAGCACGCCGCGUGAGUGAAGAAGGUUUUCGGAUCGUAAAACUCUGUUGUUAGAGAAGAACAAGGAUGAGAGUAGAACGUUCAUCCCUUGACGGUAUCUAACCAGAAAGCCACGGCUAACUACGUGCCAGCAGCCGCGGUAAUACGUAGGUGGCAAGCGUUGUCCGGAUUUAUUGGGCGUAAAGCGAGCGCAGGCGGUUUCUUAAGUCUGAUGUGAAAGCCCCCGGCUCAACCGGGGAGGGUCAUUGGAAACUGGGAGACUUGAGUGCAGAAGAGGAGAGUGGAAUUCCAUGUGUAGCGGUGAAAUGCGUAGAUAUAUGGAGGAACACCAGUGGCGAAGGCGGCUCUCUGGUCUGUAACUGACGCUGAGGCUCGAAAGCGUGGGGAGCGAACAGGAUUAGAUACCCUGGUAGUCCACGCCGUAAACGAUGAGUGCUAAGUGUUGGAGGGUUUCCGCCCUUCAGUGCUGCAGCAAACGCAUUAAGCACUCCGCCUGGGGAGUACGACCGCAAGGUUGAAACUCAAAGGAAUUGACGGGGGCCCGCACAAGCGGUGGAGCAUGUGGUUUAAUUCGAAGCAACGCGAAGAACCUUACCAGGUCUUGACAUCCUUUGACCACUCUAGAGAUAGAGCUUCCCCUUCGGGGGCAAAGUGACAGGUGGUGCAUGGUUGUCGUCAGCUCGUGUCGUGAGAUGUUGGGUUAAGUCCCGCAACGAGCGCAACCCUUAUUGUUAGUUGCCAUCAUUUAGUUGGGCACUCUAGCGAGACUGCCGGUGACAAACCGGAGGAAGGUGGGGAUGACGUCAAAUCAUCAUGCCCCUUAUGACCUGGGCUACACACGUGCUACAAUGGGAAGUACAACGAGUUGCGAAGUCGCGAGGCUAAGCUAAUCUCUUAAAGCUUCUCUCAGUUCGGAUUGUAGGCUGCAACUCGCCUACAUGAAGCCGGAAUCGCUAGU
rnacentral:rRNA from 1 species